rnacentral:rRNA from 1 species
UACAUGGGGUGCAAACGUUGCUCGGAAUUACUGGGCGUAAAGCGCGCGUAGGCGGCUUUGCAAGUCGGGUGUGAAAUCCCCAGGCUUAACCUGGGAACUGCAUUCGAGACUGCAUUGCUAGAGUAUGGGAGAGGGAAGUGGAAUUUCCGGUGUAGCGGUGAAAUGCGUAGAUAUCGGAAGGAACAUCAGUGGCGAAAGCGACUUCCUGGACCAAUACUGACGCUCAUGUGCGAAAGCGUGGGGAGCAAACAGG